UACGGGGGGGGCAAGCGUUGUUCGGAAUUACUGGGCGUAAAGGGCUCGUAGGCGGCCAACUAAGUCAGACGUGAAAUCCCUCGGCUUAACCGAGGAACUGCCUGUCAGACUGGGAGGCUUGAGACCGGGAGAGGUGAGUGGAAUUCCCAGUGUAGCGGUGAAAUGCGUAGAUAUUGGGAGGAACACCAGUGGCGAAGGCGGCUCACUGGACCGGAACUGACGCUGAGGCGCGAAAGCGUGGGGAGCAAACAGG
rnacentral:rRNA from 1 species